UCCUCCCGCCUCGGCCUCCCACCGUGCUGGGAUUCCUUCCAGCGUGAGCCACCGUGCCUGGCAUUUAUUUCUGGAUGACUCGGUGCCCAGUGUUCACAUCCCAGAGCCUCAAGCUGACCUUCCAGCCCGGACCGGCGCUAUCCGCUCCCCACUCCUCUCCCUGGAGCCCCGGACGCCUCCAGCUGGGCUCGCUCUCUCCCUGCCUGUCCCUGCACAGAUCAGGUGGCGCCACCUGCCGUCUGUCCAGCUCCUCAGCUCCUGCUCCGGUCACAGUCACGCGCUGGUCGGGUGCCGUGCGCCACGCGCCCUCCAGUGGCUCCCAGGGAUCAGGCUCUCCACCGCGCGCUCCAGCUGCCGUCCCCCUGCCCUGCCUGGGUCAGGCCACCCGGCCUGCCCACCGGGACCUCAGAACUGCCGGUACCCUUGCUGGCUGCACGGGUUUCACAGAUGAUAAAGCUGAGCGCAGCCUCAAACCCUGAAUAACCAUCAAAGUUAAGAUCCUUCAGACUCUUCCAAGCCUCACCUCAUCAUCCGUGGCCCAGCAGUCCAGAGCCACGGGCCACCCACCCGCUUGUUAGGCAGCGGCAGCUACGCGAUGUACUCUGACCUCAGACACCCCAGGACUUUGCUUAGAUUUCACAAGGGACUGGGUGCAGGCAGGAGGGGGUGGAAUUUGGCCAGUGAUGGGCCUGCCUCAGGGCAUUUUUGAGACCUGCCUGGAGAGAGCUGGGCGCUGGGCUGAGCUGUCCAAGUCCCGCUGCCCUCUGAAGCCCGGUGAGCCCACCCAGCCCUGCCAUCAUCCUGCCUCCUUGCCCCUCACCAUCCAAGGGGGGAAGAAGAACCCCGCCCUGAGGGAGCCCCAGCCAUCACGGGGAGAGCCCAGGUCCCAGAGUGAGGCGAGCUUCCAGCCUCUGGGUUCCCGGCCAGAGGUUUCCCGAUGGGGGCUGCCCACUCCGAGGGAGGAGCUUCAGGACAUCUGAACCAAGACCCCCACCACACUGGACGCCGCCCCCAGCCCCUGCAUAGGCAUCUCCCGAAAUCCACGCGCAAGAAGUUGGGCUCAUGGGCUGUCCCACCCCGAGUUCUCCAGGACCCUUGAAAAGGACCCGUCUGCAGGUGCGUGGAUAAAGCAGCACCAACCCCCUCCCCACUCACCCGAGGUCCCCAGAGCCCUCACACCCACAGACCCAGGAAGGAGAAGGGCUGGGGCGGGACUCGGAGCGGCUGUCCCGAGUCUGUCGUCUCCCGAGACGAGAGUGGAGCUUCAGCCUGGGAAGAUGAGGAGACUCUGGAGGUGACGGUGGUGGCUGCACAGUGCAGCGAAUGUGGCUGUGCCCCUGAACUGUGCACUUAAACAUGGCUGAUGGUGAAUUUUCUGUAUGUGUGUUUUAUCACAAUUUUUAAAAAUGCCAACAAGAAAACACUUGGAAAUGAA